rnacentral:lncRNA from 1 species
GCUAAUGAGAUUCUGGAUUCUGUGUUUUCCUUGCACCAAUAUAAGUUCAAUAAAAGGCUAGGAUGGUUAAAGAUUUCAAUUUGUUUUUGGGUUCGUCAACUCCGGACAUUAUAGCCAAGAAUUGUUGGUCAUUUUUUAUGCUUUACUGGUUAAACUUUGAAUUGAGAUCUUAAGGACAUGUAUAUCAGAAGCAACGUCGGCGGAACCAUCCCGAAUCGGGUGGUUCCGCUCGUUCCGAGCCACACCGGUGAGACCGGUACGGUUUCGGCUGUAAAAAUGAGACGCUUGCCGGAGCCGGAGGAGAAAGAAAGAGAGAGCGCAGGAGGGGAGGUAGGGAGAAGGAGAGGUGGCAGACACCGGCGGAGGGCCGUGGAGGGCCGGUGAAGGCUAUGAUAGCCGAGGCCGUUGUCGGUUCUCCUGUUUCGAAAGAAAGAGGGGAACGGCUGCAACGCCGCUUGCCAUGGCUUCCGCCGGCAUCCACCACCCUCCUUUGGCCUUUUCUCCCUUGCUCUCUCUCUCUCUCCUUUUAUCUCUCCCACGGUGCCGUGCCUUCUUUCGGUACGAGCCCA